UAUGAAAAUACCUUAUGCAGUGCUUUCUUUAAAACCCCAUUUGUUGAUUUUCACUAAGCUGAAAGCACACUUUAUGUCUGGGAGCAACCAAAUAACAAAUUUGCUCUCCUUUGAAGACUCAUCAUUUCAGUUAAACAUUUUAAAAUAAUGACAAUGGGUCUCGAGUUUCAAAGUUGAGACCCAAUUUCUGCACUUGAGGAAAUCACUGGUCUAAUCAGAGGGCAACAGUGUCAUCUGGAAAUGCCGGCCCAGGGAUGCCAUCCAGACGGAGGUCAUGAAUGCUGGAAGUGGGUCUCGCAGGGUGAGAGGAGUCACCAGGUGAAGACUGAUGAGAAGAGUCUGUGGGUGAAGACAUUGAAAAGGUUUCAACUAUACGAAUGGAGUUUUGCUCUUGUUGCCCAGGCUGGAGUGCAGUGGCGU